rnacentral:rRNA from 1 species
UACGUAGGGACCUAGCGUUGUCCGGAAUCAUUGGGCGUAAAGCGCGCGUAGGCGGCCCGGUAAGUCCGUUGUAAAAGUCAAAGGCUCAACCUUUGAAAGCCGAUGGAUACUGCCGGGCUAGAGUACGGAAGAGGCGAGUAGAAUUCCUGGUGUAGCGGUGGAAUGCGCAGAUAUCAGGAGGAAUACCCAUAGCGAAGGCAGCUCGCUGGGACGUUACUGACGCUGAGGCGCGAAAGCGUGGGGAGCAAACAGG